rnacentral:rRNA from 1 species
CUAGCGACUUCAGAGUUUGAUCCUGGCUCAGGACGAACGCUGGCGGCGUGCCUAACACAUGCAAGUCGAACGAAGUGAGGACUUCGGUUUUCACUUAGUGGCGGACGGGUGAGUAACGCGUGAGUAACCUGCCUUUCAGAGGGGGAUAGCGUUUGGAAACGAACGGUAAUACCGCAUGACAUCAUGGAACUGCAUGGUUCUAUGAUCAAAGGAGCAAUCCGCUGAAAGAUGGACUCGCGUCCGAUUAGCUAGUUGGCGGGAUAACAGCCCACCAAGGCGACGAUCGGUAGCCGAACUGAGAGGUUGAUCGGCCACAUUGGGACUGAGACACGGCCCAG